rnacentral:tRNA from 1 species
UAAGGUAUAGCAUAAUUUUAAUGCACUUCGCUUACACUGAAACUAUACUAACCACUAGUUACCUUAA